rnacentral:rRNA from 1 species
GACGAACGCUGGCGGCGUGCUUAACACAUGCAAGUCGAACGAUGAUGCCCAGCUUGCUGGGUGGAUUAGUGGCGAACGGGUGAGUAACACGUGGGUGAUCUGCCCUGCACUUCGGGAUAAGCCUGGGAAACUGGGUCUAAUACCGGAUAUGACCAAGGACUGCAUGGUUUUUGGUGGAAAGGUUUACUGGUGCAGGAUGAGCCCGCGGCCUAUCAGCUUGUUGGUGGGGUAAUGGCCUACCAAGGCGACGACGGGUAGCCGGCCUGAGAGGGCGACCGGCCACACUGGGACUGAGACACGGCCCAGACUCCUACGGGAGGUAGCAGUGGGGAAUAUUGCACAAUGGGCGAAAGCCUGAUGCAGCGACGCCGCGUGAGGGAUGACGGCCUGCGGGUUGUAAACCUCUUUCAGCAGGGACGAAGCGAAAGUGACUGUACCUGCAGAAGAAGCACCGGCUAACUACGUGCCAGCCGCCGCCGUAAAAC